GAGCAGCCUCAUUUUCUAUAAGCUGUUCACUGGAAACACAGAAUGAAGGAGACCCUGACAGAGACCCUGGUGCCCCUGACAAGAAACUAUGGAUGAGGGCAUGUGACGAAGAUCUGAUAGAAGCCCCACAAACAGAAGGAACUGCAUUCUGCCAACAACCAGUGAGCCUGGAAAAGGACGUCAAGCUUGAGCUGAGAUUGUAGCUCCAGCCAAUACCUUGAUUUUAACUUGGUGAGACUGUGGAAAGGUCUAGCUAGUUGGUACCCAGAUUCCUGACCCAGGGAAACUCACAGAAGAGAUCAGGCUCAUCACCGACAGCAACAAGCACAGCAAAAACUGAUAAAGGCUGGGGAAGGUGACUGUGAAAAAAAGAAGAGUAAUUCUACAACCUGACAUCCCAAGCUUGCUCUUGCCUUAAAACCUGUGUACUUGCUGCCCCCAGCCCAGAACUCUAACCCCUGAUCUCCACUUGCCAGGAUCCUCCUUGGCACCUGGGUCUCCCCUCCAAAGCCACUGUUGCCCGUCCCUGGGGCUAAAUUCAUCCCAGCUGCCCCAUGGCCGACCCCAAAUCACCCUGCAUCACUCCCCUCCUAGCGCUUCCU